UUGCUCUCAAGAUUAGCGGCGGACGGGUGAGUAACACGUGGGUAACCUGCCUGUAAGAUUGGGAUAACUCCGGGAAACCGGAGCUAAUACCGGAUAACAUUUUGAACCGCAUGGUUCGAAAUUGAAAGGUGGCUUUUGCUACCACUUACAGAUGGACCCGCGGCGCAUUAGCUAGUUGGUGAGGUAAUGGCUCACCAAGGCAACGAUGCGUAGCCGACCUGAGAGGGUGAUCGGCCACACUGGGACUGAGACACGGCCCAGACUCCUACGGGAGGCAGCAGUAGGGAAUCUUCCGCAAUGGACGAAAGUCUGACGGAGCAACGCCGCGUGAGUGAUGAAGGCCUUCGGGUCGUAAAGCUCUGUUGUUAGGGAAGAACAAGUACCGUUCAAAUAGGGCGGUACCAUGACGGUACCUAACCAGAAAGCCACGGCUAACUACGUGCCAGCAGCCGCGGUAAUACGUAGGUGGCAAGCGUUGUCCGGAAUUAUUGGGCGUAAAGGGCUCGCAGGCGGUUCCUUAAGUCUGAUGUGAAAGCCCACGGCUCAACCGUGGAGGGUCAU
rnacentral:rRNA from 1 species